rnacentral:lncRNA from 1 species
GUGGCUGCGGCCUGCCCCUCAGCCUCCUCCGCGCGGUUACCCCUGUACCCGCCGCCAUCCGUCCUGGCGCUCCGGAUGAGUCAAUGAGGGGCAGGGCCCGAGGAGUGGUCUUCCCAAGAACCCCUGGUGGCCUCCCAAGGCCGGUGCUGUGUACCUCCUCCCCGACAAAAGGGGAAACUGAGGCCCCGAGGGGAGUGGGAAGAGCCGGCUGGACGUCAGGCCCAGCCGCUGGUGCAGUGGUCCGUCCCCUCCGCCGGGGUGGGCCCCUCGGGUUUCGCGUGUCCUCGGGAAAGAGACUGGCGGGCCUCGUGGGCUGUGCGGCUAUCCUGGAGACAGAUGACAGCUCUCCCUUGGAUGGCUUUGCUGGUUCCGCACCAGCCAGCGCCCCUAUUUUUCCUGCAGCACCCUGAUCUGCACUCCCUGAGGGGCUCCCACUGUCCGCGGUGUGAGGAUGUCCCUGGAUAGUCCACUGUGUGCAGAGGCAUGGGAGUUGUCAUGUCGAGAACAUGCUAGACCUCAGUGUCCUUGAGGGAUGCCGCCUUGGGUCUGGAAAUUGUUAGAGGAAACCCCAAGAGGUGCAGGCACUGAGCCUCUCAGGACAAUGACCUGGGGUCCCAGCUCCCCUGGAGGGGCCUCCUCAUGAUUGUUUGGGGCUUGAUCACAGACCAAGAGUGACGAGUGAUGUCACCCUGUGACUCAUGGCCGGACCUUCUUGCCCCUAUUGUCUCAGCACAACAUUAUUUGACUUUUCCCUCAGCGUGGGUGGGCAGAGGAAAAGCCCUGUGGCUCUGGGGACUUGGGAUCCGGAGUUGAAGACCCUUCAGCUGGCUCUGCCCUGCCAGUGCCACAGAGUGCCAUGGCCCAGGAAGACAGGUUUUCUUCCAUCUAGGCCAGGCCAUCCAGUGGCCAUCCUCCGUGUCCUCCCGCCUCCUCCUGGUGUGACUUCUGAAAACCAAGAAUUUGUUCCUGUUGACUUUUUCUGUGCUAUGGACCAUUGUCCUCUCACCCACUCAAUAAAUCUUGAAACAUGC